rnacentral:ncRNA from 2 species
CUGUGACCUUGCCCGUGUCUCUGCCUCUCCCUGCAGUGAAGCUGACAAAAUCAAAGUGGCCCAGGGAGUGUCUGGUGCUGUGCAGGACAAAGGGUCAAUCCACAAAUUUGUCCCUUACCUGAUUGCUGGCAUCCAACACUCAUGCCAGGACAUUGGUGCCAAGAGCUUGACCCAAGUCCGGUGAGCUUGGGGAGCUGGGACAUGGGUAGAGGGGCUGGUCCAGGGCCAGCUACCCACAUUUGACCUCUGCCCUUCUUCAGAGCCAUGAUGUACUCUGGGGAGCUUAAGUUUGAGAAGAGAACGUCCUCAGCCCAGGUGGAAGGUGGCGUCCAUAGCCUCCAUUCGUAUGAGAAGCGGCUUUUCUGAAAAGGGAUCCAGCACACCUCCUCGGUUUUUUUUUCAAUAAAAGUUUAGAAAGAA